rnacentral:rRNA from 1 species
GGGAAUUUUCGGAUUCUAGUGGCGGACGGGUGAGUAACGCGUAAGAAUCUAACUUCAGGACGGGGACAACAGUUGGAAACGACUGCUAAUACCCGAUGUGCCGCAAGGUGAAACCUAAUUGGCCUGAAGAAGAGCUUGCGUCUGAUUAGCUAGUUGGUGGGGUAAAGGCCUACCAAGGCAACGAUCAGUAGCUGGUCUGAGAGGAUGAGCAGCCACACUGGGACUGAGACACGGCCCAGACUCCUACGGGAGGCAGCAGUGGGGAAUUUUCCGCAAUGGGCGAAAGCCUGACGGAGCAACGCCGCGUGAGGGAGGAAGGUCUUUGGAUUGUAAACCUCUUUUCUCAAGGAAGAAGUUCUGACGGUACUUGAGGAAUCAGCCUCGGCUAACUCCGUGCCAGCAGCCGCGGUAAUACGGGGGAGGCAAGCGUUAUCCGGAAUUAUUGGGCGUAAAGCGUCCGCAGGUGGUCAGCCAAGUCUGCCGUCAAAUCAGGUUGCUUAACGACCUAAAGGCGGUGGAAACUGGCAGACUAGAGAGCAGUAGGGGUAGCAGGAAUUCCCAGUGUAGCGGUGAAAUGCGUAGAGAUUGGGAAGAACAUCGGUGGCGAAAGCGUGCUACUGGGCUGUAUCUGACACUCAGGGACGAAAGCUAGGGGAGCGAAAGGGAUUAGAUACCCCUGUAGUCCUAGCCGUAAACGAUGGAUACUAGGCGUGGCUUGUAUCGACCCGAGCCGUGCCGAAGCUAACGCGUUAAGUAUCCCGCCUGGGGAGUACGCACGCAAGUGUGAAACUCAAAGGAAUUGACGGGGGCCCGCACAAGCGNNGGAGUAUGUGGUUUAAUUCGAUGCAACGCGAAG